UGAAAACCUUGUGGGCCGAUCCGGGUGCUUGCACCCGCUCAUGUCACAAAGAGCCAGCAGUGAGCAUGCAAUGCGGAGCAAUGUUACCAGGCUAACACUUCAGAAAGAGCACUUUGGCUAAGGAGUGGAUGGCUUGGAGGGAACAAGAAGGGGUCAAAGAGACCAAGUAGAAGCCUGUUGCAGGGUCAACAUGAGUGCAGAAGGAUCAGGGACACACAGAAAGGAACAACUUUAACAUACCAGUUAGGCAGCUGAAUUGAUUGGCUGUGGGAUGUGAGGGAAGACGGAGUCCAGAAGGACCCCACUUUGCUGGCCUGGAGCAGGAGCAGGUAGUCAUUACCUGGGACAAGGAGCACGGGGAGAAGCAAGUGUGGAGGGCCAGCAUGCAUUUGGAUGGGAGAAGGAGUAAAGAUAUGGCAUGCUAGCUGGCAUUCUCUAGAGAAGCAGAACCAGCAGAGUGAAAAUGUGAACGACUCAACAGAGACGCACAAGAGGGGAGCAUCGUGGAGAAGGUAGUGGCAAUGCCAAGGACAGGUGCCAGAGGCAGGAGACCGGGUCCGGAGCUCAGGUCUGUCGGUAACCAGCUGUGUGACAUUGGCAGGAAAGUAGAGGAUCCCAAGGAGGGAUUCCAGCACCUCCUCGGUCCCUUAUUUCUUCUCAGAUAUGACACUCUGUCUUUUUGUUGGGAAGUCAUUUCUAAGAACACCUGUCGGCAGUUAGAAAAGAACGACGCUGUCAGGAUGUGGUGGAGCGUCUGGACGAAAACAGGAGCUUGCGAUUGUGGGUUGGGGGCGGCCACGCUGACUGCAAACCCGCGCAGAGCCCGUCACUGAGCAUCAUGUUGCCAACACGAAGGAAGGACAGAG
rnacentral:lncRNA from 1 species